AUGCCUGUAAUCUCAGCUACUCAGGAGGCUGACAGGAGAACUGCUUGAACCCAGGAGACAGAGGUUGCAGUGAGCCAAGACCGCGCCAUUGCACUCCAGCCUGGGCAACAAGAGCAAAACUCUGUCUCAAGAAAAAAAAAAGAAAGAAAGAAAGAAAAAAGAAAAGAAAAUUGGCAAGGAUACAGAACUUGAACUCCACUGGACCUGACAUUAAAACACUUGACUCAACAAGAGCAGAAAACAUUCUUCUCGAGCACACACAGAACAUUUACCAGGAGAGACCACAGUCUGGGCUAUGAAACAAACCCUGUUAACUUCAAAAAGAUUCAAGUGGUUUUUUGUUGUUUUUUGAUACACGGUCUCACUCUGUUGCCCAGGCUGGAGUGCAGUGGCAGGAACAUGGCUCACUGCAGCCUCAACCUCCUGGGCUCAAGUGAUCCUCCCACCUCAGCUUUCUGAGUAGCUGGGACUAUAGGCAUAGGCGUGGGCAACCGCCCCAGGGUGAUUUUUUAAAUUUUUUUGUAGAGACAGGGUCUCGCUGCAUUGCCCAGGCUGACCUCAAUCUCCUGGGCUCAAAUGAUCCUCCUGCCUCAGCCUCCCAGUAUCGGGAUUACAGGUGUGAGCCACCACGCCCCAGCCAAGGACUCAAGUUAUACAAAGUAUGUUCUCUGACCACAAUGAAAUUCAACUAGAAAUCAGUAACAGAAAGAUCUCUGGUAAAUUCCCAAAUAUUUGGAAACUAAAUGACAUACCUUUAAAUAACUCAUUAGCCAAAGAAUAAAUCAAAGGGAAAUUAGCAAGUAUUUUGAACUGAAUGAAAACACAACAUAUGAAAAUUCGUCAGGUAUCACAAAAGCAGACUGAACUUUUUAGACCUUACAAAUGCAUGACUGUCCCCCUUGCCUCUGAUCUUCUGCCUGGGGUCUGCCUUUCCCCAAUCUUUGUUCACUAUACUGAAUCCUACAUGACACAGUCAACCUAUGAAGAAAUCCAGAGAUAGACUCUCUAAAAUAAAUGGAUUUGGGAAUAGCAGCUUAUCUGGAAUACUGCAACCGUUGAGGAUGGUCUUGCAGUGAGUCCUGUUAUUGGUCUGUUUGUAGAAAUGUCUUGUGGUAAGUCCUGUUGCAGGAAUGUGUGCGUGAGGGCUGCUUCAUCACCUCCAACUGUUUUAGUUUGACAUAAGUGACUCCAUUUUGGUACCGGCAACGUUCACAACUUUCCAUGUGACUUCAGCACCCUGCACCCCGAUCCUUUCCCUGGCCACUUUGCAGGACCACUACCUAUGAGACUAUGGGUUCCUUGAGAGCUAGGGCUGGGUCUCAUUCGCUCCUGAAACUUUCACCCAGCAGAGUGAUGGCCCACGCCAUGCAUGACAUGCGUUGCUCAAUGACUGCAUCCACUCAGCCAGUAUGCCAGUCCCCACUGAGCCUCACUCUCAACCUCCCUGGCUGGCAUAGGUUCCUUGUGCAGACAUCCAGUGGCAGUAAAAUAUUGCUGGGUUCUCAGCUUCCCCCACCUGCAACCCUCACUGGCCCCUUAGUUCACUAUGAUGAC
rnacentral:lncRNA from 1 species